UGAGGAAUAUUGGUCAAUGGGCGGGAGCCUGAACCAGCCAAGCCGCGUGGAGGAAGAAGGUACAGAGUAUCGUAAACUCCUUUUGUCAGGGGAUAAAAGGCGCCACGAGUGGCGUUCCGAAGGUACCUGAAGAAAAAGCAUCGGCUAACUCCGUGCCAGCAGCCGCGGUAAUACGGAGGAUGCGAGCGUUAUCCGGAUUUAUUGGGUUUAAAGGGUGCGUAGGCGGUCUUUUAAGUCAGCGGUGAAAGCCCGGGGCUCAACCCCGGCGAGCCGUUGAUACUGGGAGACUGGAGAGGAAGAGAGGCAUGCGGAAUUCGCGGUGUAGCGGUGGAAUGCUUAGAUAUCGCGAAAAACUCCGAUUGCGAAGGCAGCAUGCUGGCUUCUGUCUGACGCUGAGGCACGAAAGCGUGGGGAUCGAACAGGAUUAGAUACC
rnacentral:rRNA from 1 species